rnacentral:rRNA from 1 species
CCUGCCCAGUGACUAAUUGUUCAACGGCCGCGGUAUCCUGACCGUGCAAAGGUAGCAUAAUCAUUUGCCUUUUAAUUGGAGGCUAGUAUGAAUGGGUAGACGAAGAUUUAGCUGUUUCUAUAUUAAAAAUAUAACUUAAACUUUAGGUGAAGAUGCCUAAAUUUUAUAGAAAGACAAGAAGACCCUAUAGAGUUUGCUUUGGUUGGGGCGACCUAGGAUCUAAUUAAACAUCCUUCUAUACUGAUAUAUUUAUCUAAAUAAUUGAACCUAAAUGGAUUAUCAAAAUUAACUACCUUAGGGAUAACAGGCUUAUCUUCCUAGAGAGCUCUUAUUGAUAGGAUGGUUUGGCACCUCGAUGUUGGCUUAGAGUAACUUAAUAUCGCAGCAGAUAUUUGUAGUCAGUUUGUUCAACUGUUAAUUCUCU